rnacentral:rRNA from 1 species
AAGAAGAAGCGCAAGAGAAGGCGUACCAAGGCGUACAUGGCGGCCUAGGACAAGCUUCUUUGUGAGUGUUGGAGGGACAUUGGGCAAGAUCCCAAGACCGGCGCCGAACAAAAGGCAUCAACCUUUUGGACUCGUGUCCAUCGUGAGUUCCAUGAGCACAAGAAGUUUCCACCGUACAAAAUGCAAAGCACGCGCAGAUGGGUGUCCAUUUUGAAGCGUUGGAAGGUGAUCCAACAAGAGUGCAACAUGUUUUGUGCCACCCUUGAGAGCAUCAAGGCACGGCCCGUGAGCGGCAUCGGUAUGCAAGACAUGGUAUGCUAG